rnacentral:rRNA from 1 species
CCCUUAGAUGUUCUGGGCCGCACGCGUGCUACACUGAGUGGAUCAGCGGGUCAGGUUGCGCGAAAGCGUUUCCUAAUCUUUAAAUCCGCUCGUGAUGGGGAUUGACGGUUGCAAUUUUCUGUCAUGAACGAGGAAUACCUUGUAAGCUCGGGUCAUCAUCCCGCGCUGAAUACGUCCCUGCCCUUUGUACACACCGCCCGUCGCUCCUACCGAUUGAGUGGUCCGGUGAGGCUUUGGGAUCUGAGCGGAAAGAGCGUUUCGCUGUUUCUGCUCGGAAAACUCAGUCGAACCUUAUCAUUUAGAGGAAGGAGAAGUCGUAACA